rnacentral:rRNA from 1 species
UACGUAGGGCGCAAGCGUUAUCCGGAAUUAUUGGGCGUAAAGAGCUCGUAGGCGGCCUGUCGCGUCGGCUGUGAAAACCCGGGGCUCAACCCCGGGCCUGCAGUCGAUACGGGCAGGCUAGAGUCCGGCAGGGGAGACUGGAAUUCCUGGUGUAGCGGUGGAAUGCGCAGAUAUCAGGAGGAACACCGGUGGCGAAGGCGGGUCUCUGGGCAGUAACUGACGCUGAGGAGCGAAAGCGUGGGGAGCGAACAGG